rnacentral:rRNA from 1 species
GACCCGUCUUGAAACACGGACCAAGGAGUCUAGCAUGUGCGCGAGUCAUUGGGAACUAAUAAACCCAGAGGCGCAAUGAAAGUGAACAGCGCCGAUUUCGGUCGGCCGCAGGGAAGAUGGCCCACGGCAAGCCCGCGGGCCCGCAUUCCCGAGGCGUUUCGAGAAAUGCCAUCGUUGCGAUUAUCGAGACGCACUGAGAGCGCACACGCUGGGACCCGAAAGAUGGUGAACUAUGCCUGGUCAGGUCGAAGUCAGGGGAAACCCUGAUGGAGGACCGAAGCGAUUCUGACGUGCAAAUCGAUCGUCGGAACUGGGUAUAGGGGCGAAAGACUAAUCGAACUAUCUAAUAGCUGGUUCCAUCCGAAGUUUCCCUCAGGAUAGCUGGCGCUCGUGAAGCAUCAAAUUUUAUUAUUUGAUUCAUACAGUCUCAUCCGGUAAAGCGAAUGAUUAGAGGCAUUGGGGCCGAAACGGCCUCAACCUAUUCUCAAACUUUAAAUGGGUGAGAUCUCCGUCUUGCUCAAAUUGUGCGUUUCGGCGCACUGAAGUCGGAGUUCGGAUGGGAGUGCCAAGUGGGCCAAUUUUGGUAAGCAGAACUGGCGCUGUGGGAUGAACCAAACGUCGAGUUAAGGCGCCAAACGGACGCUCAUCGGAUACCAUAAAAGGCGUUGGUCNCUCAUGACAGCACGACGAUGGCCAUGGAANUCGGAAUCCNCUAAGGAGUGUGU